rnacentral:rRNA from 1 species
GACGAACGCUGGCGGCGUGCUUAACACAUGCAAGUCGAACGGAAAGGCCCUGCUUUUUUGGGGUGCUCGAGUGGCGAACGGGUGAGUAACACGUGAGUAACCUGCCCUUGACUUGGGGAUAACUUCAGGUAACUGGGGCGAAUACCGGAUAGGAUCUCCUGCUGCAUGUUGGGGGUGGGAAAUUUUCGGCGGUUGGGGAUGGACUGGCGGCUUAUCAGCUUGUUGGUGGGGUAGUGGCUGACCAAGGCUUUGACGGGUAGCCGGCGUGAGAGUGUGACCGGCCACAUUGGGACUGAGGUACGGCCCAGAAUCCUACGGGAGGCAGCAGUGGGGAAUAUUGCACAAUGGGCGGAAGCCUGAUGAAGCCACGCCGCGUGCGGGAUGACGGCCUUCGGGUUGUACACCGCUUUCGCCUGUGACGAAGCGUGCGUGACGGUAAUGGGUAAAGAAGCACCGGCUAACUACGUG